rnacentral:rRNA from 1 species
UACGAACUGUGCAAACGUUAUUCGGAAUCACUGGGCUUACAGGGUGCGUAGGCGGCCAGACAAGUCGGGUGUGAAAGCCCCCGGCUUAACCGGGGAAUGGCGCCCUAAACUGUAUGGCUGGAGUGAGAUAGGGGUGUGCGGAACUUCCGGUGGAGCGGUGAAAUGUGUUGAUAUCGGAAGGAACGCCGGUGGCGAAAGCGGCACACUGGAUCUCAACUGACGCUGAGGCACGAAAGCCAGGGGAGCGAACGGG